CUUAGAAGCAGCCAUCAUUUAAAGAAAGCGUAAUAGCUCACUGGUCGAGUCGGCCUGCGCGGAAGAUGUAACGGGGCUAAACCAUGCACCGAAGCUGCGGCAGCGACACUGUGUGUUGUUGGGUAGGGGAGCGUUCUGUAAGCCUGUGAAGGUGUGUCGUGAGGCAUGCUGGAGGUAUCAGAAGUGCGAAUGCUGACAUAAGUAACGAUAAAGCGGGUGAAAAGCCCGCUCGCCGGAAGACCAAGGGUUCCUGUCCAACGUUAAUCGGGGCAGGGUGAGUCGACCCCUAAGGCGAGGCCGAAAGGCGUAGUCGAUGGGAAACGGGUUAAUAUUCCCGUACUUGGUGUUACUGCGAAGGGGGGACGGAGAAGGCUAUGUUGGCCGGGCGACGGUUGUCCCGGUUUAAGCGUGUAGGUGUGUGUUCCAGGUAAAUCCGGUUCACUUUAACACUGAGGCGUGACGACGAGGCACUACGGUGCUGAAGCAACAAAUGCCCUGCUUCCAGGAAAAGCCUCUAAGCAUCAGGUAACAUCAAAUCGUACCCCAAACCGACACAGGUGGUCAGGUAGAGAAUACCAAGGCGCUUGAGAGAACUCGGGUGAAGGAACUAGGCAAAAUGGUGCCGUAACUUCGGGAGAAGGCACGCUGACACGUAGGUGAAGUGAUUUACUCAUGGAGCUGAAGUCAGUCGAAGAUACCAGCUGGCUGCAACUGUUUAUUAAAAACACAGCACUGUGCAAACACGAAAGUGGACGUAUACGGUGUGACGCCUGCCCGGUGCCGGAAGGUUAAUUGAUGGGGUCAGCGCAAGCGAAGCUCCUGAUCGAAGCCCCGGUAAACGGCGGCCGUAACUAUAACGGUCCUAAGGUAGCGAAAUUCCUUGUCGGGUAAGUUCCGACCUGCACGAAUGGCGUAAUGAUGGCCAGGCUGUCUCCACCCGAGACUCAGUGAAAUUGAACUCGCUGUGAAGAUGCAGUGUACCCGCGGCAAGACGGAAAGACCCCGUGAACCUUUACUAUAGCUUGACACUGAACAUUGAGCCUUGAUGUGUAGGAUAGGUGGGAGGCUUUGAAGUGUGGACGCCAGUCUGCAUGGAGCCGACCUUGAAAUACCACCCUUUAAUGUUUGAUGUUCUAACGUGGACCCGUUACCCGGGUUGCGGACAGUGUCUGGUGGGUAGUUUGACUGGGGCGGUCUCCUCCUAAAGAGUAACGGAGGAGCACGA
rnacentral:rRNA from 1 species